GGCUUUAUAUUCAAUAUUAUGAUAUAAAAUUGCAAAUUUUAAGUAGUAAUUAUAAAUUACUAAGGCUU
rnacentral:tRNA from 1 species